AAGACAGUCCGCGGAGGCUGAGACGGUCACGGGUUUCCUGGAAGUCGCACCUCCAGUAAGAGGCGGGCCAAGAACUCGAGCGCAGCUGGACUGAAACCUGAGUUCAUCCCGAGGCUGCCCCGAGGCAGCAGGGUUCUGGUAACACAGCUGACAGACCACAAGCAUGUAAGCCUCUCCCUUCCAGAGCUGCCCUCACACCACGUAAAGAAUACGAGGGGGAGUAUCCGCAAUAGGAGAGAAGACCUUAUGAAAAAGAAAUUCCAAUAAUUUUGGAGGUUGGAAAGUGAUUGCAGGUGUUGAUCCUGGUCCUGGGGCACUUUUAGUAAACAUCGUGCAUGCUAAACUCAGCCUCAGAAUCUGCUUCCCAGAAAACCCAACCUACAAAAUCCAGGUUGAAUUUUCUAUUGCUGUCUACCGAUUUGCAAAAUGACAAGAGUUGUUCGACAAUGCCUCCGUCGGGGUCAUAGACUGUUUCAAAGAUGGCUGUGACGAUUCGCCUCCUCUUACGGCCCUUUGCAAUCAGACCGCGCAGUUCUCCUCAAGUGGGAGUGUGCGCUAUUCCAGGCCACGCGUGAAGACUAGGCUGCAACCUACUCUGGCCAAGGGGAUCAGCAGAUGUGAGGCUGGGCCAGCGCUGAGUUUAGACCUCAUGAAGGGCUGUAUAGGGCUAGUCUCUUUCUCAGGAUCCUGUUAGCACCAUGUGAACGAGCUCAAGUGAGCCUGCUGGAUGAAGACUCAUGGCAGGUCAUUGCUGUCACCGCAGCUGACUGCCAGCUAAUCACGAACACGUGAGGGAGCUCACAUCAGAAUUCUGCCAACUGGCUACAAAUGCCAUGAGUGUCCAGCAGACACUAGGGGAGGCGAGCUUAGGCUCAGAACUGCCUGCCUGACUGCCCGACUCCUGAGCAGUGGUCAGGGGUUGCUGUUUGAAAUCGUUGCAUCGUGGGGUGCUCGGUGACACAGCGAGAGAAAGCUGAUGCAGCCCCAGAUGAGGUCCCUGAAGUAUUUUUCUUGGUACUUCUACAGUCUGAACAAAAGGGGCCACUGUGAAUUCUACACAGUGAUGAAUUUACCACAGAGCUGAGAAAGCAUGGGUAAACUGAC
rnacentral:lncRNA from 1 species